GCUGGAGUGGCGGAAUGGUAGACGCACAGGACUUAAAAUCCUGUGACAGCAAUGUCGUAAGGGUUCAAGUCCCUUUUCCAGCA
rnacentral:tRNA from 2 species